GAUGAAGAACUCAGCGAAAUGCGAUAAGUAAUGUGAAUUGCAGAAUUCAGUGAAUCAUCGAAUCUUUGAACGCAUCUUGCGCUCCUUGGUAUUCUGAGGAGCAUGCCUGUUUGAGUGUCAUUAAAUUCUCAACUACACUGACUUUGAAUUGGUGUGGCUUGGAUUUGGGGGGGAAAAUUGUUGUGGGCUUUUUGUAUAGUCUGCUCCCCUGAAAUUGAUUAGCGGUACCUUUGUGGAACUGUCUACAGGUGUGAUAAUUAUCUACAUCCUAGACAUCUGCUGGAAUGCUGCUUUCUAAACCUUACUUGUAUUGACAAUCUUGACCUCAAAUCAGGUAGGACUACCCUCUGAACUUAAGCAUAUCAAUAAGCGGAGGA
rnacentral:misc_RNA from 1 species